rnacentral:rRNA from 1 species
AUUGAACGCUGGCGGCAGGCCUAACACAUUCAAGUCGAACGAGUGGCGGACGGGUGAGUAAUGCCUGGGAAACUGCCCGAUGGAGGGGGAUAACUACGGGAAACGGUAGCUAAUACCGCAUACCAUCGGAUGAGCCCAAGUGGGAUUAGGUAGUGGGUGGGGUAACGGCUCACCAAGGCGACGAUCCCUAUCUGGUCUGAGAGGAUGACCAGACACACUGUGACUGAGACACGGUCCAGACUCCUACGGGAGGCAGCAGUGGGGAAUAUUGCGCAAUGGGCGCAACCCUGAUGCAGCCAUGCCGCGUGAAUGAAGAAGGCCUUCGGGUGGUAAAGUUCUUUCGGCGAGGAGGCGUUACUCGCAGAAGAAGCACCGGCUAACUCCGUGCCAGCAGCCGCGGUAAUUC